GAUGAACGCUAGCGGGAGGCCUAACACAUGCAAGCCGAGCGGUAGAGGGUCUUCGGAAACUUGAGAGAGGCGCACGGGGGCGUAACACGUGUGCAAACUACCUUUAUCUGGGGGAAAGACGUUCGAAAGGAAGAGUAAUACCCCAAAAUAUAAUGAUUGGCAUCGAUUGUGAUCGAAAGAUCCGGUGGAUAGAGAUGGGCCCGCGCCAGAUUAGAUAGUUGGUGAGGUAAAGGCUCACCAAGGCGAUGAUCCUUAGGGGUCCUGAGAGGGAGAUCCCCCACACUGGUACUGCGGCCCGGACUACUCUGCUACGCGACGCAGCAGUGUGGUAGAUUAUGGACGGAGUGCUGGCCUGAUCCAGCCAUCCCGCUUGAAGGAGGCCUGUCCUUGGGAUUGUAUUCUUCUUGUGUACAGGGAUAGUCCGACCCUCGCGAGGUUAUCUGACGGUACUGUACGAAUAAGCACCGGCUAACUCCGUG
rnacentral:rRNA from 1 species